rnacentral:rRNA from 1 species
ACCCGCUGAACUUAAGCAUAUCAAUAAGCGGAGGAAAAGAAACCAACAGGGAUUGCCCYAGUAACGGCGAGUGAAGCGGCAACAGCUCAAAUUUGAAAUCUGGCCCYCGGSUCCGARUUGUAAUUUGUAGAGGAUGYUUYUGGCGASGUGYCUUCCGAGUUCCCUGGAACGGGACGCCAWAGAGGGUGAGAGCCCCGUCYGGUYGKACGCCKAGCCUCUGURAARCUCCUUCGACGAGUCGAGUAGUUUGGGAAUGCUGCUCUAAAUGGGAGGUAUAYGUCUUCUAAAGCUAAAUACYGGCCAGAGACCGAUAGCGCACAAGUAGAGUGAUCGAAAGAUGAAAAGCACUUUGAAAAGAGGGUUAAAYAGUACGUGAAAUUGYUGAAAGGGAAGCGCUYRYGACCAGACUUGGGCYYGGYSAAUCAUCCGGCGUUCUCGCCGGUGCACUUKGCCGGCCCAGGCCAGCAUCAGUUYGNCKCGGGGGACAAAGGCUUCGGGAAYGUGGCUCCYYCGGGAGUGUUAUAGCCCGUUGCGYAAUACCCYGGGCCGGACUGAGGUUCGCGCAUUCGCAAGGAUGCUGGCGUAAUGGUCAUCAGCGACCCGUCUUGAAACACGGACCAAGGAGUCGUCCUCGUAUGCGAGUGUUCGGGUGUCAAACCCCUACGCGCAAUGAAAGUGAACGNAGGUGAGAGCUUCGGCGCAUCAUCGACCGAUCCUGAUGUUCUCGGAUGGAUUUGAGUAGGAGCAUACGGGGCCGGACCCGAAAGAAGGUGAACUAUGCCUGUAUAGGGUGAAGCCAGAGGAAACUCUGGUGGAGGCUCGCAGCGGUUCUGACGUGCAAAUCGAUCGUCAAAUAUGGCAUGGGGG